rnacentral:rRNA from 1 species
AUUGAACGCUGGCGGCAUGCUUUACACAUGCAAGUCGAACGGUAACAGGCCGCAAGGUGCUGACGAGUGGCGAACGGGUGAGUAAUGCAUCGGAACGUGCCCAGUCGUGGGGGAUAACUACUCGAAAGAGUAGCUAAUACCUCAUACGAUCUAUGGAUGAAAGCGGGGGACCGUAAGGCUUCGCGCGAUUGGAGCGGCCGAUGUCAGAUUAGGUAGUUGGUGGGGUAAAGGCUCACCAAGCCAACGAUCUGUAGCUGGUCUGAGAGGACGACCAGCCACACUGGGACUGAGACACGGCCCAGACUCCUACGGGAGGCAGCAGUGGGGAAUUUUGGACAAUGGGCGCAAGCCUGAUCCAGCAAUGCCGCGUGCAGGAAGAAGGCCUUCGGGUUGUAAACUGCUUUUGUACGGAACGAAACGGCUCUGGUUAAUACCCGGGGCUAAUGACGGUACCGUAAGAAUAAGCACCGGCUAACUACGUG